ensembl:lncRNA
CUAGUGAGCCCACCACUGAUAACACUGCAUUUUGUGCACCACAGGCAGUAACACUGGAAGCUGUGCUGUGUCUAGCUCACUGCCAGCAGCACUUCAAAAGUCACCAUGCUUAGGCUUGUUGUUAGCCAGGUAGACAACACGGGGCAUAAAACACUGGAGACAGCAGGUUUAUGCUGCUGCUCCAUUAGCUGCUGCCUAUGAAGUUUCUUUUCUGGUACUCACAAUAGUAAGCAGUCCAAAUCCAUCCUGAGUCCAAAUCCAUCCUGAGUAAUUAAAAGUAUCAUGAAUUGACUUAUCUGAGGAAAGCCUCAGGCUAUGAAGAUACGAACACAAGGUGCUUCAGUUAGCAAAGGCAAGCAGAAGAAAGGGGAAAUAAUAAAUUGAAAUUUUCAGUUCUUUCAUGUUCAGUCUUUUGGCCUUUAGGUACCUUGAGAUCACUCCGGAAAUAUUUAUGUAAAAACUCUGUAGUUCUUUCCAACAAUUCAACAUCAAAAUCAACAGAUUUCUGUUUGAUGUAGAACUGACAACACUAUAACCUGCUCCCAGGAAAGGGUUGCAAAUAAAACUAUAUACAUCAACAUGAGAGAAGGUAAUGUAAUGACUUGUCCCUUCCCCAAAGCAGCAAAGAGCAACUAGAAAAAAAGCAGGACCAAGAUUUUCAGUGCUUACAUCAGAAUUAACAGAAAAGAAACUAAAUAUGUGUAGAUAAAUAUGUAUGUACAUAUAAACAGAUAAACUAGUGUCCAGGAUAAUAAUUGAACAACAAUCAGUAAUAGAACCAGCAGGUUUAUUUCUGAAAGACCUGUUUAAUUAUUCCUUUUCACUUUAUAAGCUCUUCUUAAUUAUUUUUUUAAAGCAUUUCAAUUAUAAAUGCAGAACGUAUUUUUAUGUGUGGUAGAGGGAAAAGGACCAGGAAAACUCAUCAUAAUCCAUUAUUAAACGUUCAGAUGUGAAAAAGAGCAGUAGGAGGAAUGCAGCUGCGUGUGCACUUGGCUUGCUUCUACAAAGAUGUGCAGCAGAGGGCACCACAGAUGGCACACAGGAGAGAUAUGCUUUGAAGCUGUUCGGCUCUGCUCCGUAAUUACACAGCUCUGAUAAAAGAGGUAUGAUUGGGCGCAGAGACAGAAGUUGCUCAGCCAUGGGAAGACCCGCCAUGCUCUCCCUCUCACUGGCCACGCCAUGGAUCUGUGCAGCAAUGGAGCACCUGAAUGCAGUAAUGGAGGAGAAAGAAGAAAGAACUGCCAUCCUUCUAUUUUGCCAAGAGGAGGAAAACAGCAUGGAGCCAUACGACGCAGAAAAAUGUCUGCAUGCUGAGAGCGGUGCUGCACACAGCUCGUGUCCUAUGCGUGAAUUUCGUUUGCAAAAGAACUGCCGGGAUUGUUCUGCAAAGAGCACCCACUCCUCCAGCCCGGCCCUCCCCGGGCGCUCUCACUGCUUCGCUUCCUCCUUCUGGCUGUGAAGUCUGAAAGGAGCUCACGGAGGAGCAACGGGAUCAGUGCUCCCCUCUCACCCUCUGCUGCAGAAGAAGAAAGAGGUUUGAUUAAGUCCUCUAAAAGUAUUAAGGCUGAAUCAGACCACAAAAAGGAAAACAAACAAACAAACAAACAAACCCGUGCUCUAUGCUCACAAAAAAUGUCACCUUCCUAACGGCUGCAGUCAAAUCCUUUAGAGCCGGUAUUUACAAUCAAAUGUAUUCAAAUAUCUCCGAGCCCUAGCGCAGAUGACACCAAAAGGACCAUUUGCUAUAACUUAAACAAGUGCUCUGUAGUUCUCGGGUUAGCUCCUAAUGAAAACCGAAGGAAGGACCUACUGCCAGGGAUGCACACACACACACACACACACACACACACACACACACACACACACACACACGCAUAUUUCAUCCAACCCACCGCUACCAGCCCCGGGUCGCACUGAUUAACACUUUUCACGUAAACACACUUUUUCUUCCUUGAAAUGUUAAUGCCUGCUUAGUGCAAGGUGAAAGUCUAUCCAAAGACCGAAUCCCUUAAGAGUGUUAAUUAAACAGGACAAUAAUAAUCCACCGGUGAUUUAUGGCGAGGUGGAUGACUAGACCAUAGUGGUUGGUCUGAUAGGCAUUUAUUGCCUACUUAACCAUUUAAGUAUAACAAAAAAAAUCAUUGUGGUACAAAAGGUGAUGAAUGUUGCUGCUAAAACAGUCCAUUAAGAUGAUUCAUUAACAUUACAAAGAGGUCUGCAGCCUCUGUGCCACUUGGAGCCCGUAAAAGUCUGGGAAAGUGAGAGACAUUACCAUAGGAAAUGCUUUAUGCUAAAUGCGCGCUGAUAGAAUCUAAAGUCCACUUUCUGCAGAUAACAUCACUUUUUACAUUUUGCACUACAAGGUCCGAGGAUGCUUUGUACUUCUUAUUUCUGCAGCUAGAGAAUGUAUCUUCCUAACAGAGCAGCGCGGGAGGAGAGGAGUAAUAAAAGUCACAAUGCUCUGGCACACAUCUGAGCCUUUCAUACUUCCCUUUGAACUGAUGUCACUGGAAUGCCGAACCGCUGGUUGCACCACUGCGGAGCGACCGAGAGCCAUGAGUUAUAGUCACAGUGGUUACAACUUUAUUAAAUGCACACCAAGAAAAGCUACUACAAUGAUCUUCCCAGGUCAAAUAACAGCGGAUUCCUGCUGUGGGACAGCAAGGAGAUGUGCCACGGACGGAUGAUACAUGAAACAGUAUAAGGGUUAAAUCAGAGUGUAAAUGUAUCUAAAAAUACCAAAUUAUGAUCUCAGUACCUUCCUAACAAGUGAUUCCCAGUAACUAAUGAAGCCUGACUCCUUAUGGAUUUAUGCCACAUCUCUCACACCUCCCCAUCAGAACAACACCCAUUGUCCUCUGCCAUAGCCGCGCUGUAAUAACGCCCUGGUGUCCCUUAGCCAGCCCCAGGCUUUUUGGAUUUGCCAGCUGAAGAAAACAGUGCAUUUGCUAAGGAGUGAUAGAGUGAUCUGCAAAUCAGAAUCAUUUGCUGCUGUCAGCCAUGAUGAAGAAUUGCUAAAUUCUGCCUUCUUCUCGAUGGGAGCAUUAAUAAGAACUCCCUCCUCUUGGUAGGUGCUAACUCUUGCAAAAUUGCUAAGGACACAGCACCUUUGAAACUCCUCUGCAACCUGUGACAAAUGUGUCAGCAUAUUGGAAACUGGGUCAGACAAAUAAGGAGAUUGUGUAAGCAGUUCCCCAGGGAGCCAGACGAAGAGGCAUGAUAGGAUCUCCACUGACCAGAAGUUGCUAGACUCUUGUUUAUGUACUUCAUCUGAGGCGGAGCAUCCCCCAGUGCUUCCUCAAUUACAGGAAGUGUGUGCAGCACCUGUUCAGACUACCUGGGCUAGCUGCAAACAAGCUAGACUGGGUUCCAGGAGCACAGGACACUUGCUAACAAAUUCUGCUUCUCAGUAUGUAAUUAGCCUACUUUACUUCUCAGUAAAUGAAUUAGCACAGCUACACUACA